UACGUAGGGGGCAAGCGUUGUCCGGAUUUAUUGGGCGUAAAGAGCGUGUAGGCGGCUAGACAGGUCCGCUGUGAAAACUCGAGGCUCAACCUCGGGCCUGCAGUGGGUACGGGCAGACUAGAGUGCGAUAGGGGAGAUUGGAAUUCCUGGUGUAGCGGUGGAAUGCGCAGAUAUCAGGAGGAACACCAAUGGCGAAGGCAGAUCUCUGGGCCGUAACUGACGCUGAGGAGCGAAAGCAUGGGGAGCGAACAGG
rnacentral:rRNA from 1 species